rnacentral:rRNA from 1 species
CUGUACCUACGGGGCGCAGCAGUGGGGGAUAUUGCACAAUGGACGGAAGUCUGAACCAGCCAUGCCGCGUGCAGGAAGACGGCUCUAUGAGUUGUAAACUGCUUUUGUACAAGGGUAAACCUGAAUACGUGUAUUCAGCUGAAAGUACUGUACGAAUAAGGAUCGGCUAACUCCGUGCCAGCAGCCGCGGUAAUACGGAGGAUCCAAGCGUUAUCCGGAUUUAUCGGGUUUAAAGGGUGCGAAGGCGGAUUGAUAAGUUAGAGGUGAAAUGUCCGAGCUCAACUCGGGAACUGCCUCUAAUACUG